rnacentral:rRNA from 1 species
AGCAGCCGCGGUAAUUCCAGCUCCAAUAGCGUAUAUUAAAGUUGUUGCAGUUAAAAAGCUCGUAGUUGAAUUUCGGGGUCAAUAAGUUGGUCAUGCCAAUGGUAUGCACUGGCUUUAUUGAUUCCUACCUCUUGACGAACUGUGAUGCCAUUAAUUUGGUGUUGCAAGGAAUCAGGACUGUUACCUUGAAAAAUUAGAGUGUUUAAAGCAAGCUUACGCUUGAAUACAUUAGCAUGGAAUAAUGAAAUAGGACGUUUGAUCCUAUUUUGUUGGUUUCUAGGAUCGACGUAAUGAUUAAUAGGGAUAGUUGGGGGCAUUAGUAUUCAAUUGUCAGAGGUGAAAUUCUUGGAUUUAUUGAAGACUAACUACUGCGAAAGCAUUUGCCAAGGAUGUUUUCAUUAAUCAAGAACGAAAGUUAGGGGAUCGAAGACGAUCAGAUACCGUCGUAGUCUUAACCAUAAACUAUGCCGACUAGGGAUCGGAUGAUGUAAUUUUUAAUGACUCU